rnacentral:rRNA from 1 species
AUUGAACGCUGGCGGCAGGCCUAACACAUGCAAGUCGAGCGGAUGAAGGGAGCUUGCUCCUGGAUUCAGCGGCGGACGGGUGAGUAAUGCCUAGGAAUCUGCCUGGUAGUGGGGGAUAACGUCCGGAAACGGGCGCUAAUACCGCAUACGUCCUGAGGGAGAAAGUGGGGGAUCUUCGGACCUCACGCUAUCAGAUGAGCCUAGGUCGGAUUAGCUAGUUGGUGGGGUAAAGGCCUACCGAGGCGACGAUCCGUAACUGGUCUGAGAGGAUGAUCAGUCACACUGGAACUGAGACACGGUCCAGACUCCUACGGGAGGCAGCAGUGGGGAAUAUUGGACAAUGGGCGAAAGCCUGAUCCAGCCAUGCCGCGUGUGUGAAGAAGGUCUUCGGAUUGUAAAGCACUUUAAGUUGGGAGGAAGGGCAGUAAGUUAAUACCUUGAUGUUUUGACGUUACCAACAGAAUAAGCACCGGCUAACUUCGUG